rnacentral:rRNA from 1 species
UACGAAGGGGGCUAGCGCUGCUCGGAAUGACUGGGCGUAAAGGGCGCGUAGGCGGAUUGAUUAGUUAGGCGUGAAAUUCCUGGGCUUAACCUGGGGGCUGCGCUUAAUACAGUCAGUCUAGAGUGUGGAAGAGGGUCGUGGAAUUCCCAAUGUAGAGGUGAAAUUCGUAGAUAUUGGGAAGAACACCGGUGGCGAAGGCGGCGACCUGGUCCAUAACUGACGCUGAGGAGCGAAAGCGUGGGGAGCGAACAGG